rnacentral:rRNA from 1 species
AUUAAACGCUGGCGGCAUGCCUUACACAUGCAAGUCGAACGGGCUUGGGGGCUUGCUCCCAAGUUAGUGGCGAACGGGUGAGUAAUACAUCGGAACGUACCGUGUAGUGGGGGUUAACUUAGCGAAAGUUAGGCUAAUACCGCAUACGAUCUACGGAUGAAAGUGGGGGACCUUCGGGCCUCACGCUAUACGAGCGGCCGAUGUCUGAUUAGCUAGUUGGUGAGGUAAAGGCUCACCAAGGCGACGAUCAGUAGCGGGUCUGAGAGGAUGAUCCGCCACACUGGGACUGAGACACGGCCCAGACUCCUACGGGAGGCAGCAGUGGGGAAUUUUGGACAAUGGGCGCAAGCCUGAUCCAGCCAUGCCGCGUGUCUGAAGAAGGCCUUCGGGUUGUAAAGGACUUUUAUUAGUGAAGAAUAUGACGGUAACUAAUGAAUAAGGGUACGGCGUAACUACGUGCCAGCAGCCGCGAAU